ACCCUUGGCAGGUCGAACGGAUUAARGGGCUUGCUCUUUAGUUAGUGGCGAGCGGGUGAGUAAUAUAUCGGAACAUAUCCGGAAGUGGGGGAUAACGUAGCGAAAGUUACGCUAAUACCGCAUAUGCCCUGAGGGGGAAAGGGGGGGAUCGCAAGACCUCUCGCUUUCGGAGUGGCCGAUAUCGGAUUAGCUAGUAGGUGAGGUAAAGGCUCACCUAGGCGACGAUCCGUAGCUGGUCUGAGAGGACGACCAGCCACACUGGAACUGAGACACGGUCCAGACUCCUACGGGAGGCAGCAGUGGGGAAUUUUGGACAAUGGGCGAAAGCCUGAUCCAGCCAUACCGCGUGAGUGAAGAAGGCCUUCGGGUUGUAAAGCUCUUUCAGCCGGAAAGAAAUCGCACUUCCUAAUACGAAGUGUGGAUGACGGUACCGGAAGAAGAAGCACCGGCUAACUACGUG
rnacentral:rRNA from 1 species